rnacentral:rRNA from 1 species
UACGAAGGGGGCUAGCGUUGCUCGGAAUCACUGGGCGUAAAGCGCACGUAGGCGGCUAAGUAAGUCGGGCGUGAAAUCCCACGGCUCAACCGUGGAAGUGCACUCGAAACUGCAUAGCUAGAGUCCUGGAGAGGAAGGUGGAAUGCUUGGUGUAGAGGUGAAAUUCGUAGAUAUCAAGCGGAACACCGGUGGCGAAGGCGGCCUUCUGGGACAGUGACUGACGCUGAGACGCGAAAGCGUGGGGAGCAAACAGG